GUCUACGGCCAUGCCAUCCUGAAUGUGUCCUAUCUUGUCUGAUCUUGGAAGCUAAGCAGGAUUGGGCCUGGUUAAUACUUGGAUGGGAGACCACCUAGGGAUACCAGGUGCUAUAGGCA
rnacentral:rRNA from 1 species